ACGUAAGGGGCAAGCGUUAUCCGGAUUUACUGGGUGUAAAGGGAGCGUAGACGGCAGAGUAAGUCAGAUGUGAAAACCCAAGGCUCAACCAUGGGACUGCAUUUGAAACUAUUCAGCUAGAGUGUCGGAGAGGUAAGUGGAAUUCCUAGUGUAGCGGUGAAAUGCGUAGAUAUUAGGAGGAACACCAGUGGCGAAGGCGACUUACUGGACGAUGACUGACGUUGAGGCUCGAAAGCGUGGGGAGCAAACAG
rnacentral:rRNA from 1 species